rnacentral:rRNA from 1 species
CAGUCGCCGCGGUAAUACAGAGGGUGCAAGCGUUAAUCGGAAUUACUGGGCGUAAAGCGCGCGUAGGUGGUUUGUUAAGUUGGAUGUGAAAUCCCCGGGCUCAACCUGGGAACUGCAUCCAAAACUGGCAGGCUAGAGUAGGGCAGAGGGUGGUGGAAUUUCCUGUGUAGCGGUGAAAUGCGUAGAUAUAGGAAGGAACACCAGUGGCGAAGGCGACCACCUGGGCUCAUACUGACACUGAGGUGCGAAAGCGUGGGGAGCAAACAGGAUUAGAUACCCGAGUAGUCCCUGUCUCUUAUAC